rnacentral:tRNA from 1 species
GCCCCGAUAGCUCAGCGGACAGAGCAGCCGGCUUCUACCCGGUGCGCGCGGGUUCGAUUCCUGCUCGGGGCACGA